UGUUUAGAAUGUUAUUGGGCCUCUAUAUAAAAGAGGUGGAAUAAAAAUGAAGUAGGUUUAUUUAAAUAA
rnacentral:tRNA from 1 species